UACGUAGGGUGCAGGCGUUAAUCGGAAUUCCUGGGCGUAAAGCGUGCGCAGGCGGUUUCUUAAGUCAGAUGUGAAAGCCCCGGGCUUAACCUGGGAACUGCGUUUGAAACUGGGAGACUUGAGUGUGGCAGAGGGGGGUGGAAUUCCACGUGUAGCAGUGAAAUGCGUAGAUAUGUGGAGGAACACCGAUGGCGAAGGCAGCCCCCUGGGUUAACACUGACGCUCAUGCACGAAAGCGUGGGGAGCAAACAGG
rnacentral:rRNA from 1 species